CUACCAGGCAGAGCGCGUGUGGCCGCCGAGCACAUGGACCCACUGGUCAAGCGGGCUCGGCAAGGCCAGGAUGAAGAGAAGCUACGAACUUAGCAUUCCCAGAGCCCCCCGAGUGGAUAUCCGCGUGGAAAGGAUGUUGGCAGCCCCGGUGACCUCGGAGUCACGGCUGGAUCCACCCUCUUAGAGCCGAGUUCUGUCACCACAGACAUUGGCAGUGGCACUUGCAUGCCCCUGGCAAGCAGUCUAUCCUGAGGUGGAGGAAGUUGCCCUUGAGUUCUGGCUGGUAACCAGCACAGUAUACCCUUUAAGCGUUCCAGAAGGAUUUUGAGAUCCUUUCCUAAAUCAAAGGUGGAAUAUUUGGGGAUUUGGAAAAUUGAGAUGUGAAGCGUUGACUUAAGAGAUGCCAAGUAACUCAGCAGAUGUCACACAGACGAUAAAUAGCAAAGAUGGAAGUCUUCAUGCCGGAGGCAAUCCUAUAAGACAGCUGAGUUCUGCAGAGCUGGAGACAGACUUGCUCAGGUGAUAGAUCCAGCCAUGAUACUGACCCUAAGAGAAUGAGACGCUCUGCAGAAGACAGAAGAUUCCUGAAACUGGGAAAGGUGCCUAGAAAUCCUGAUAAGAGUGAAGAAGGAGCUGGCAGAGCAGCCUUCCUCCGCACUAUGAAAGACAUCCAACAGAGAGCAAGUUCCCACCUCACUUCCAGCUUGACUCCUUUUUAUCUCCUAACUGUGGUCUGUGAUGUCUUCAGCAAUGGGUACCUGGAGGCACAGCAGCCAUGUUGAACCUAUGAGGUGAUGAAAAACCAUGCAACUAGAAACCAGAAUGGAAGAAAAGAAGAAGCUGGAUCCUUGACUGAAUUGUCGAUGGGGGAUAGUCCAUCAUCCCAGGGCUAAGACCACCUCCAGAUUUCUUGUUUGGUGAAACAAGUCCUGAUUGUUUACAUUCCCUCGUGUUGAGCUGUCUCUUGCUUGUAGCUGAAAGCAUUUCUAAUAGAUAUUCAGAUUAUCAGCCUUAGCUCCAAGCUAGAAUACUCUAUGGGACCUUAGCUUCUCCAUGAAUUCCUUUGCUCAUCUGUGUAAUGCUCAAUAAAUGUAAAUUGAACCCUGAAUGAGGGACAAUGACA
rnacentral:lncRNA from 1 species